rnacentral:snoRNA from 1 species
GCCCUCUCAGGGUCACACCUGGAGAGUUCCCAGUACUCUACCAGUUUCGACUACAGGAGGAAGAGUCAGGCAGAGGCACAGCCAUUCCAUUCCUAACUUGGGCAGUGGUUAGCGAGUGGAAGGCCAUCUGCUACAAGU